AGAGUUUGAUCCUGGCUCAGAGCGAACGCUGGCGGCGUGCCUAACACAUGCAAGUCGCACGAGAAAGGGGUAGCAAUACCCCCGGUAAAGUGGCGAACGGGUGAGUAACACGUGGGCAACCUGCCCCCGGGUCGGGAAUAACCUGCCGAAAAGCGGGCUAAUACCGGAUAAUGACGUGAGGUCACAGGACCUCGCGCCCAAAGGUGACCUCUUCAUGAAAGUUGUCGCCUGGGGAGGGGCCCGCGUCCCAUUAGCUAGUUGGUGAGGUCACGGCUCACCAAGGCAACGAUGGGUAGCCGGCCUGAGAGGGCGACCGGCCACAGUGGAACUGAGACACGGUCCACACUCCUACGGGAGGCAGCAGUGAGGAAUCUUGCGCAAUGGGCGAAAGCCUGACGCAGCGACGCCGCGUGGACGAUGAAGGCCUUCGGGUCGUAAAGUCCUGUCGGGUGGGAAGAAACAGUCUGUGGCUAAUAUCCACAGAUUCUGACUGUACCACCAAAGGAAGCCCCGGCUAACUCCGUGCCAGCAGCCGCGGUAAUACGGAGGGGGCCAGCGUUGCUCGGAAUUAUUGGGCGUAAAGGGCGUGUAGGCGGCCAGGUAAGUCUGAUGUGAAAUCCACGGCUCAACCGUGGAACUGCAUCUUAUA
rnacentral:rRNA from 1 species